rnacentral:hammerhead_ribozyme from 1 species
ACACUGCUGAGGAGUCCAAAAAUGGGACGAAACGGUCGUCCAAUGU